rnacentral:rRNA from 1 species
GCUGAACGCUGACAGAAUGCUUAACACAUGCAAGUCGGUGGCGGACGGGUGAGUAACGCGAAAGAACUUGCCUCACAGCUAGGGACAACAUUUGGAAACGAAUGCUAAUAGCCUAUGAGAGAGCUUUGCGUCCCAUUAGCUAGUUGGAGAGGUAACGGCUCACCAAGGCGAUGAUGGGUAGCCGGCCUGUGAGGGGGAUCGGCCACAAGGUGACUGAGACACGGCCCGUACUACUACGGGAGGAAGCAGGGGGGAAUUUUGGACAAUGGGCGCAAGCCUGAUCCAGCCAUGCCGCGUGUCUGAAGAAGGCCUUCGGGUUGUAAAGUACUUUUGUUAGGGAAGCGGUACCGAAAGAAGAAGCACCGGCUAACUACGUGCCAGCCGCCGCGGUAAUAC